rnacentral:rRNA from 1 species
CCUACGGGAGGCAGCAGUGGGGAAUAUUGGGCAAUGGAGGCAACUCUUACCCAGCAAUGCCGCGUGAAUGAAGAAGGUCUUCGGAUUGUAAAGUUCUUUAAUUGGGGACGAAAAAAAUGACGGUACCAAAGGAAUAAGCUCCGGCUAACUACGGGCCAGCAGCCGCGGUAAUACGUAGGGGGCAAGCGUUGUUCGGAAUGACUGGGCGUAAAGGGUGUGUAGGCGGUGUAGUAAGUUAGAAGUGAAAUACCUAGGGCUUAACUCAGGUGCUGCUUCUAAAACUGCUAUACUUGAGUGCAGUAGAGGAAAGUGGAAUUCCUAGUGUAGCGGUGGAAUGCGUAGAUAUUAGGAGGAACAUCGGUGGCGAAGGCGGCUUUCUGGACUGUAACUGACGCUGAGGCACGAAAGUGUGGGGAGCAAACAGGAUUAGAUACCCCUGUAGUC